rnacentral:tRNA from 1 species
GGCGGGGUAGCUCAGUGGCAGAGCAGCCGGCUCAUACCCGGUAUGUCUGGGGUUCAAGUCCCCAUCCCGCCACCA